rnacentral:rRNA from 1 species
GACAGAGGGUGCGAACGUUGUUCGGAAUUACUGGGCGUAAAGCGCGUGUAGGCUGUUCGGAAAGUCGGGUGUGAAAGCCCUGGGCUCAACCUAGGAAGUGCACUCGAAACUCCCGAACUGGAGUCCCGGAGAGGAAGGCGGAAUUCUCGGUGUAGAGGUGAAAUUCGUAGAUAUCGAGAGGAACAUCGGUGGCGAAGGCGGCCUUCUGGACGGUGACUGACGCUGAGGCUCGAAAGCGUGGGGAGCAAACAGG